UUUAGAAGAUUCUGAAUAACUCUGUUAUAUGUGACUCAACUACAGUGAUUUUCAAGUGGGAAAGAGAAUAGGGGCAUCUCCCUUGAGAAAGCUUUUCACAAAAUCACAAUGAGCUAAUAUAAGUUUAGGCUUACAGAAGAUUUGCAAAAGUAGUUCAGAAUUUCUGGAUAGCCUUUACCAACACCCUCUGAUGUUACAUCUUAAAUAACCAUAGUACGGUUACCAAAGCUAAAUUAUCAUGGUUACAUUGCUGCUAACUAAAUAUAGGCUUCACUAGUGUUUUUUUAUGUCCUUUUUCUCUUUCAGAUUCUAAUUCAGGACCCACAUUGCAUUUAGUUGCUUAGUCUUCAUAAUCUUCUCCAGUCUCUUAGCAGUACCUCAGACUUUCAUGGUCUCUUAUGACCUUGAGGACUGGUCAGUUAUUUUGUAGACUGUCCCUUACCUGAUUGUAUGUUAAAUGCAAUACUAGUGUCACUUUGAUUAGUGAUGGAGUUAAAUGAUAAAUGUGCAGGUAAAUAAAGUCUUUACAACA